AUUGAACGCUGGCGGCAUGCCUUACACAUGCAAGUCGAACGGUAACAGGCCGCAAGUUCCUGACGAGUGGUGAACGGGGGCGUAAUGCUUAGGAAUGUGUAACCUAGCGGGGGAACACUACUCGCUAGGGUAGCCCAGACCGCAUACGAUCUAAGGAUGAGAGCGGGGGGGUGCAAAGCCGCGCGCGGGUGGAGCUGCCGAUGUCAGAUUAGGUAGUUGGUCGGGUAAAGGCUCACCAAGCCAACGAUCUGUAGCUGGUCUGAGAGGACGAGCAGCCACACUGGGACUGAGACACGGCCCAGACUCCUACGGGAGGCAGCAGUGGGGAAUUUUGGACAAUGGGCGCAAGCCUGACCCAGCAAUGCCGCGUGCGUGAAGAAGGCCUUCGGAUUGUAAACUGCUUUUGUUCGGGACGAAACGACUCUGGUUAAUCCCCGGGGCUAUUGACGGUACCGUAAGAGUAAGCACCGGCUAACUACGUG
rnacentral:rRNA from 1 species